rnacentral:rRNA from 1 species
UACAGAGGUCUCAAGCGUUGUUCGGAUUCAUUGGGCGUAAAGGGUGCGUAGGCGGCGCGGGAGGUCGGGUGUGAAAUCUCGGAGCUUAACUCCGAAACUGCAUUCGAUACUGCCGUGCUUGAGGACUGGAGAGGAGACUGGAAUUUACGGUGUAGCGGUGAAAUGCGUAGAUAUCGUAAGGAAGACCAGUGGCGAAGGCGGGUCUCUGGACAGUUCCUGACGCUGAGGCACGAAGGUCAGGGGAGCAAACGGG